ensembl:lncRNA
GCGCCACCGUCGACCGCAACCGUGUUCCUUGGGCAUAGCAUUUAUUGAGGUAGCAGACAGUAGUAAACUGUUAUGCAGUCUGGUCGUGAGGGCCCGACUGCUUCUCAGCUGUCCUCACUAUCCUCUGCAGGGCUACGCGGUCUCAAACGGUGCCAAACCAGGCAGUGAUGCUGCUGCUCAGGAUGCUCUCAUUAGCCCCCCCGAUACAACGUAGUGAGUAUGGGGGGGGGGAGAUGUGCUUUCCUCCGCCUUCGAAGAAAGUAGAGACGCUGCUGGGCUUUCUGGUGUCGAGGGACCAGGACAGGUUGUUGGCUCUACACCAGUCAGUUAGCCGCCGCACCUCCUCUCCGUAUGCUGACUCAUCGUUCUUGCUGAUGAGACCCACCGCGGUCGUUCCAGCUGUGCAUUGCUGCACAGUGGUGAGUCAGCAGAGUGAACAGUAGUGGACUGAGCACCAGUGGCGAAGGGAACCUUUCCGAGGAAGCC